rnacentral:rRNA from 1 species
UUAGAUGAUUAGGGGGAUUUUUAGAAGAAGAAGUGUUUAUAAGAGUAAAGGGUGGAAUCUAGUGUUUUGAGGUAAGAGAGUUUUGUUUUAAAUUGAGUUGAGGUCAUGAAGGCUGGGGUUUAAAUUAGGAUUAGAUACCCUAUUAUACUUAGCUGAAAUUUUGUUUAAACUUGAGUAGUAAUCAGUUAUGUUCUUGAAACUUAAAGGAUUUGGCGGUAUCUUAGUCUAGUUAGAGGAACCUGUUUUAUAAACGAUAAACCACGAAAUAUCUUACUUCUUUUAGUAAAAUCAGUUUGUAUACCGUCAUUAUUAGAUAAUCUUCAUAAAGAGUUAUUGAGAUAAGUGUUUGUUAGUAUAUUAGAUCAAGGUGCAGCCGAUGGGGAAGAAAGUAAUGGGUUACAAUGUUAUUUAAUAUACACGGAAGUAGGAGUGGAAUGCUCCUUGGAAGGUGGAUUUAAUAGUAAUUGUGUUUUAAUAAGGAGCAAUGAUAUUAGCUCUAUGAUAUGUACACAUCGCCCGUCGCUCUCACACCUAAUGU